AAUAUUAAAAGGAGGCCGGUAAUCCCCCAACCAAAACAUAAAAAAGUCCCAGGUUCAAAAUAGAAAUCCUGUAUCAAUUUAGACAGUAUUACCUACCACAACAACUUCGAACAACUAUAUAAACUAUUAAAAAUUUAAUCAUGUUGAACAACACAACAAUCUCAACCAAAUCUUAUUCUACUAAAUGGGAUCGGCUACAUGAAUCGACUUCUGCCAUAAUAUUAUAUCUAAAACCAUGUUUCUAUCCAAAUCAUUGACCUCAAGAUCGUUCUUAAUAAAAGAUCGUUCUUAAUAACUUCUCUUAUAGUUUUUUUAGGUCUUUCUCUAACUCUAACUGUUUGACUCCUCUCCAUCUAAUAUACUUUUCUUACCAUAAAAUUUAUGGGUCUUCUUUCUAUAUGUCCAACCACCUCAGUCUGUUUUUCACUAUCCUUUCUAUUAUAGGUGUUACUCCAACACUCUUGAAUAUUUUCAUUUUUAAUCUUAUUAAGUCUAAUGUUAACACACAUCCAACGCAACAUCCUCAUCUCUGUACACUUUAUUCUCGUGUUAAUUCUUAACCGUCCAACAUUUUGUCCUGUACAAAAUCGAGAAUUUCACCGCAGUCCGAUAAAUUUUCCCUUCAGCUUAAGUGAUACCUUUGUGUCACAUAAAAUCCAUGAAACCCUCCUCUAUUUCAACCACCCCGCUUGAACUCGACCGAUAACAUCUCCUACUAUUUUUCCAUUGUUUUGUAUUACGGGCCCAAGAUAUUUAAACCGCGUGACUUGUGACAUGAUGUGGUUUCUAACUUUUACCUCUGGGUUAAAAACGCUUCUUCUUUUGGUGAACUUACGUUCCAUAUACUCUAUCUUACUUCUACUUAGGUGAAAGUCAUGCGUUUCUAAAAUUCGUCUCAAGUCUCCAACCUCUCCCUUAAAUCCUCCUUCGACUCUCCAAAUAGGACUAUAUCAUCUACAAAAAAACAUGCAUCUCAUCGCCAACUCUUGGACGUGUUCUAAGUACAUCCAAAAUUAAAGUAAAAAGGUAGGAGCAUAAGGUUGAACCUUGAUGCAAAUCUAUUGUAAUGGAAAAAUCGUUAGCACUACAAUCUUGGACGUGUUCGGAGUAUAUCUUGUCUCACCACGCCGUGUCCGCGCACUAGUCAAUACCCCUUCAUACAUAUUUUGAAUAGCUCGAAUAUAUGGAAUCCUAACCCCUUUCUUCUCUAGAGUUUUUCAAAAAAUCUCUAUAUAUACUCUAUCAUACAUCUUCUCUAAGUCAAUAAAAAUUAAGUGCAAGUCUUGUUGAUUAAACUGAUACUGCUCUAUCAUGUUGAGAAUGUAUCAAGUGUGAGUAGUGUGGAUAAAUAGUCCCACAUUGGUUGGUAAUGUGGAAACUUGAGCAUUUAUAAGUGAGAGAACCCACACACCUAUCACCUUAAGGUUUUGGGUGAAUAUGUGGUUUGUCUCUCACAAAGAUAUUGCUCUAGAAAAGAAGUCUCACAAUGUUCAAUGCUCCCUAGUGAAAAACUCCUCCAACAUAUACCUCAAAGAUUCUACAAUAAUACCAAAAAGCCAAACGGUGGAUGGGUGGAGAAGUGUUGAAUGAAAGAAGACAAACGACGCAUGUGGUUAGAAGUGUGUUUCAACUACGACAGUCAAAAUUUAACGUAUUCAUGCAUUCUUCACAUUUGUGGCCGUUGGAUUGAAUAUCUUGUAGUGUUGUUGGAAAACUAUGAUAUCGAAUUUUUAGAUGGAUUGGUUGGACCGGAAUUUUAGAUUGAUUGGUUGGACGUAUGUCUUACCUAAAGAUCUUAUAUCCCUUUUCAAAUGAUUACUUCGUUAGGGGGCGGGGUAGGACAAAGGUGGUCUUACUAUGAUUUACCAUUUUGUGGUGUGGUCAAUUUUCAAGGAUAUUAAGUUUUCUGCAACAAGUACAUAAUACCCUGAACCCUGAAGUGGAUCACCUAUCGAUUAAUGAGCCUAGCCAAUUGACAUCUAAAUAACCAACUGUCUGAAUAUGUCAUUUUUUGUCAUAAAUUAGACCUUUUCUUGGGACAUCUUUAAUGUAUUUCAGUAUCACAACAUCCAAGUGUUCUUGUAAAGAGAACUUAAGAAUUGACUUACUACUCUGACUACAAAUGAAAUGUUUAAGCAAGUUACUGGGAGGUAGUUUAAUUUGCCAACCAAUCUUCUUUAUCUCCUCGAAUAUGAUAAUGUCUCCCUCUUAUUAGGUAGAAAUAUGACAUUUGGAUACAUAAAAGUAUCAAUCAGUUUGACUUUCUAACAAAUUUGUCUCUUCAAGAAUAUCCAUAACAUAUUUCCUUGGUGAAAUUACAAACCAUCUUUGGAUUGAGCUACUGAAAUACCCAAGAAGUAAAGGAGCUUGCUAAAGUUUUUAGUGUGAAAGUGAUGGGACAAAUAUUGUUUCAAGUGGAGUAAGCUAUGUUGAUCACUACUAGUUAUGACAAUAUCAUCUACAUAAAAACAAGGUAAAGUGCAACCUUGAACUGAGUGGCGCUAAAACGCAGAAUGAACUGUUUUGCUUAAAAUCUAGCCAAAUUGUUGCACUACUGUGAUGAAUAUGUCAAACCAAGCUUAAUGAAGCUGUCUCAGAUGAUAUUAAGAUGUGUGAAGUCCAUAGACAAUGGUAUAACACUCCCGAAAAAACAAACCCCCGUGUUUUCUAAAUAUACACUUCCUCUUCAAGGUCACACCAUACAAGAACAACAUUUUUCAUGUCAAGUUGGUACAAAGGCCAGUGUCAGAUAGCUGCAAUUGAGAGUAAGAGUCUAACAGCUCAAAGAUCACUUCACUCCUUUGCUAAAGACACUUCACAAGUGAAAAAAUGUCACUUCAAUCAAGGCCAAAGAUUUAACUAUACUUCUUUGCCAAUAAAUGAGUUUUAAAACGAUCAAUCUUACCUCAAGAACCAACCUUCAUCUCAUAAAGCUAACGACAUCCCACUAAAGACUUUCCAGGGGCAGAAGAACCAGUUACUAAAUACCAUAAUUGAGCACACAUCUUGCCAAUCAUUACUUGUCUCCACUCUAGAUGGGAAAAAGCUUCAACUAAAGAUUUAGAAAUAGAAACAAAAGACAAAAAAAAAAAAUACACAAGCAUAAUACAAAGGAGAGACGUGGUGAUAACUCAACAAUAUAAUGCCGGGAUGUAAUGGGAGUAAGACAUAUAUACCUUUUGAAAUAGCAAUAAGUAGAUUCAGGGUCAGAUCCUUUAAAAAGGCGAAUGAGAGUCUGAAAUGGCAUCAGUUUCAGGAACAUAUGUAGGAACAUCCACAGCAUGCGGUUGACGACAACAUUGUACAUGCAGAGGUUAUGUCGCAUAAGGGUCCACGUGAGGAGGAUUAGAUGGGAUAGACGUAAGAGGUUCAAGUGGUACAAUAGGGGAUGAAACAUGCUGUUAUGGAUCCAUGCUGUUAUGGAUCCAUAUGAGUGAUUGCAAACAGAAGGUCGAGAGGCAUCUCAAAGUAUGGAACAAACUCUGGUGGGUCCGCAAGAAUGAGAGAAAGGGUCAUGAGGCGACUCAAAGUAUGGAACAAAACGACAUCAAAAUGUUUUGUUGAGGUGUAUGGACACAAGACAUUUGGUGAAGAAUGUCAUUAGACACCAUAAAAUAUUGAAAUUAAUAGGACAAAUAUUGACUGACAUUACUAGUGCGUAAAGUGAGAAAGAACAUUUUAAUUUCUUUAUAAAAUUUCUCAAAAAUAGAGAAUACUCAGAAUUAUUUUUCAUAUAUACAAUUUGAGAGAUCAUCAAUGGAAGUAAGAAGAUGGACCCUAAACAGCGGAGAGAACUAAAACAAAAGGGGACAAAGCAUGUUCAUUCACUAGGCUGGGAAGCUAAGCUAACUACGCGUGUGUUACCCUAAUUGUCGUGACCCACAUAUAAAUUUAAAAGAACAGACAACAGCUUUUGAUGUUUGAGGCGACCCAAUGACCUAAUUGACCAUGUACAGUAAAAGGAGAAUUUGUGGUAGAGCAUUACGUUGAUUUGUCAAAGUGAUAAUUCAGAUCCUUUGGCUCGCAUUUGACGCCAACCAUCUGUCCUGAAGCUCGAUCUAGCAAAGUAACAUUGCUAUUAGUUUAAGUAACAACACAAUCAUAAGAUUAAAUUAUCUUCUUUAAAUUUAUAUGUGGGUCACGACAAUUAGGGUAACAUAAAAAGAUUAAAUUAAACAGGUACAUAAAGGACAUACGAAACAAACAAGUGAGGAUUUGGACAGUGUCAAUUCCUUGGGAUUUUGUUUCAAAACCAUUUGUUAAGACUACCAAGUAACCAGAUGUAGCAAAAAAGGAGAAAAAAGCGUUAAUAAUACUAGUAAUGUGGUCAGACGAGUUUGAAUCCACUAGAGAAAAUGUUCAUAGUAAGUUGGGAGGCAUGAGGAAGAGGUAUUGUCAGAUGAGUUCAGAUGGAUCAACCCAAGCCGCAUUUAUAAAACAUUGGGGACGACCCAAGACAUCUAGGAUGGUAGCAAACCCCAAAAUGUGAACACAAGUGUCAUAGUUCUCACGAGGCAAUCCAUAAAAGGAACACAACAUGAAGAAAGUGAUGAAAGGCAAUCCAUAAGAAGAAAGGAGCAUGAAGAACGUGAUGUGUUGCCCAAGUGUCUUUUCUUUUCAGCUACAAAAUUGUGGCAAGAGGGGAGGAGAUCAUUGAAAUCAUGAAGUACAAAUAUGAUCAUCUAUCUUCUUUAAAGCAAUGAUGUUCAUUAGACUGUGACAAACUUCAUUGAGACAUUGAAUAUCGACAUUGUAAAGUACCUUCACCUGAUUCUAAAUUAAUUUGCAUGUAAGAUGAGGAUAGAAGAUUAGUUUUGAUGUUAGGAUGAAGUGUUGACUCAAUGACCCUGCACAAUUGAGCAUCAAUCUUCCUCCACUUUGGUCAUUCAACCUUCAAUUCAACCUUUCUAGUGAGAUGAUCCUGAUGCCCUUGACCAAUAACUCAUAAUUGAAUGUCAGAAACCAACAUUCAUAAUCGAAACCAUCCAAUUUUUUGGUAGAGGGUAAAUAGUCCGUGCUGCGCUGAACAGUAACGUGAAUAUUACUCUCUAAAAAAGGGAAUACAUUAGUAGAGAAGGGGCAAACUAGAAGGUCAACCAAGCAAGCACGGUUUAAAGCUUCCUUUUAAUAAACUUCUGAUACAAUGGUGAAUGAGAGAAAACGAGAAUCAUAUGAUGAAAAAUGUGUUUCAACUACACAAUAGGGUUUUUAACUACACAAUAGGGUUUUUAAUGAAGUGCAAAUAAUGACAUGAAUAAUUACAAUAUAUUAUACUCCUAAUUAAAUGAUAGCAAACCUUUAUUUACUCGAUUCUAUUUUAUUUUUAACAUGAAGCAAAUCUCAUGUUGAAGUUUUCCGACCAUGUAAAAAACAAAAAAUAAGUGUGCCAUGAAUGAAAAGGAUUGAAAAGGCCUUACUGUGCCAACUACCCCCUGAACCACUUAACAAGACAACUCCAAUCAAAACAUAUAGAAAAUAACACAAAAUUAUGUAAUAUGAAGUGCACGCACCUCCAUUGAUCUCUUCAUCAGUGGCUCCCACCCACUAUAUACAUGGACUUGGAUUUCUUGAAGUCAAGAGUUCACUCAUUCACUGCAUCAGUCAAGGUUAUCAAUAUCAAGAUCCUACCAAGAAUAGAGAGAUUGUGUCAGAAAUCCCAUUAUAGCUGAGUGAACUCUGCUAAGUAUUUUAAUAUCAUUGAGCAAAACAUUACUCAGAACUUAUACACCCUUCUUAUGUCAAUUAUUUUUAUAUUUUUCACCAAAUUUAAUUCUUAUUGCACAAGGAACAGAUCAGGAACCAUUCCAGUCUGACUGCGUCAUAGACGGCGAUUCGAGGAGUAAGAAGUCUGGCAACGUGACAACAGUGGAACCACAGUGGUCAGACUACAUUAGGGGAAUUUGGUUGUGCGAACCCGACCCUGAAAAUGCCAUUUUUGGAAUCACCUGAAAUAGACCUUAAUCACAAUCUCAAGGGAUAACCAUCUAUCAUGUAACCCCACCAAGUUCGUCUCAAAAGACGAUUUUAUGUGUGAUAUGACUCACUUAGUAUGAGCAAGAACGUUAGAUCGUCCAAUCUUACUAUUUAAUUCACCAUCUUAACAAUAGUGACUAAUAAAUUGGAACCGUUUGAUGUUGAUCGAAUGACUUGCAUUCCACCUUCAGGUAAUCAAAUUUUUAGGCAAUUCAGAAUAUAAAUCAUUCAAUUUUUCUUAAAUGGUUCCAAUUUAUUCACUGCAAUAAAUUCAUAAUAUUGACUAUAGGGCAUCUGUAGUAAUUAUCAAUACUUGCAUUCUUUUCCACUUACCUUUUCAGGUUUCCGCGUGUGCAAUAAAAAACAAUGCAAUGAAGUUGAAAAAAUAAUUUGCAUUAAAAGCAACAAGACAUGUUCGAGAAAAAGCAAUUAGUGUUCAACAAAAUCAUAUAUAUGAGAAAUAUGAAAUGAAAAAACAAGCAUCAAAAAUAGAUUUAUAAAACCGUUAUCAAAAUAUUACAAUUUCUUUUUAUAUUUGUUUUUUCUAAAUUGAAAGAUUAAUUUUGACAUCCUAUAAUAUAAACAUAUAUUAUUGAAUAUCAAAACAUAGUCGAAAUCACAAUUUUUUCAAAAAGUUGUAUUUCAAAAAUGAUUUUUGUGAAAAACUAUUUGAAAUAGCUUUAAAAUUAAGUGAUUUUUUGAAAUUUUGAUAUCCAAAAAAAGUUUCAAAUUUCAAUAAAAUGAUCAAAUAUCUAAAAUAAUAUUUUAAGAAUAACUAUUCAAACUAAAUUUUCAUUUGAAACUUGUAUAAAAAAUUUCUUUGUAAAUUUUUUUUACACAAAAUUAUAUAACAGUAUAAAAAUAAAAAGCCAAAACAAAUAGGCCCUAAAACGGUUUAGUUUCGUGCCAGAUUGUGCAGAUUACUUGCCAUACUCUAAGAGUGACAAAGUGUGAAAAGGCAACAAAUAGAGUAUAACAUUAAUUGAUAUCUAUUUAAAAGCCUAAUAUCAAACUUUGUUGGCAAAUAUUAUUAGGUUUUUGUACCAAAUUCAACAUCAUAAAAUCAGCUUUAUGGCAUUUAAUUAGACCCAAAAUCUAAUAUCAAAGCUUCUGAAAUUGGCUUCUAUAGUCAACUAACUGCCCUGCUUUUAAUAUGCGAACAUAAUUGAUUUGGCUUCUUAAAGUGAUAAUCUUAGUUUAUUAAAAGCCAAACUGCUAACCAUAGAUCACAAUUGCAAUAAUCAACUUUGAUAUCGUGUUAGGUUUUAGGACUAAUUAAAUCCCAAUAAAUUAGGUCAAAAACUUAAUAGAGAUUGCCAACUUAAACUACAUCAUAUAUGUAACAACAAUACCAAUAAAUAUAUGUGAUGGAUUCUCCUUUAAAAAACAAAGGGAUUAUUAAAAGCAUUGCCGUGGUUAAAUUACUCAAGAAUCGUCAUCUCUAUAUGGAUGAAAAUUGAACUGGUAAAGCGGUAAUUAAACAAAAUUCAGAUCUGCAAUUAAACUUAACAGAUAAAAGCAAUUGAAGAUUGAUGUGAAACAGAUAAAAGCAAUCGAAGAUUGAUGUGAAUCAGAUAAAUAGAAGUGAAGAUUGAUGUGUAAUAUGAUAAACCCUAGAUCUGUUAAACCUAUCAAAAAUUCUAAAUUCAAAUUCUAAGAAUAAGAAAUUGAUAGAGACGAAAGAAGUAAAACGGAUUGAACAUACAGAGAAGAGAAGAAUGUUUAGCUUGAUGGAUUGAAGGAAAUUCAGGGAAGCGUGCGAUCGGAGAAGGUGAUUUGGGAUGAAAAAACGUUGAUGUUGAUUGCUCCGGUGAAAGUCUUGUUUAUUGUUGACGUAGAAUCCCCAAUCGUUGUUCAGUGGCUGCAAGCUGCGCAUAAUGAAUUUUGUUGUGCUAAGUUACACUAACCCCUAUAUGUUACACAUUUCUCUCUCCUUUUAUUUUAAAACUCAACUCUCCUAAACCUUGUAAAAGUCAAUAUUUACAUCUUUAAAAAUCAUCUUUAAUAUUUGAAUCAUAUCAAUCAAACAAACUAGCAUCAGAUUAAAUCGACG
rnacentral:lncRNA from 1 species